rnacentral:lncRNA from 1 species
GUGGGCACCAGGUUAAGAGUUAGGCAUCUCCUUGAGAUGUCCUUAUUUGCUUAGGUCCUGCAUGAAAGCACAUAGUGCCCUAGCUCUUUUGAAAAGCAGGAAAAUCCUGAAAGAAAGCAACACAGAGCUUUCUCCAUUGUGAGGUAGUGAGGAGGGGAUUAGGACACUAGGUGAGAAAGGACAGGCCUAGACAAUGAAGCAAGGGGCGAGUGGGUGGAUGGGUAAAACCACCUGCUCCUCAAAACAGCCAGGCUCUGAGAUGAAGCAGGAAUCUGCACUUAAACCGAGGCUGGAUCCAUCCUAGGGAUUCAAGCCUGUGUUGUCAAGCGAAAACAGAAAAGAGAAGGGAAUUCCACCUUUGCCCACUGAGAACACAUCUAUGCUGAGAACACAUCUACCCAACUCCUCUGUCACAACCCCUGUGAGAAGGUUCUGCCAUCUCCCAGCCCUGAAGAUUGUGAGCUCCCUGAUGGCCCUGGGCCUCCCUCCCGACAGCUGAGGCCCUUCCUGGAUCUCUACACGUCACCAAGCUAAGCCAGUGUUCCAAAAUAGUCUCCUGAACAAUGAUGACAACUGCACAGUUAUUUUGGAAGAACUUCCUGGCAGUGAUGGCAGUGGAACAUUGGAAACAGAGAUGAACAGGAGGUGGGAAGAGGAGGCUAAGUACAUGUAGGCCUAAAAGUCUCUGCCUUGGGAGAUUUUUAACAGUCCUGGAUGGAGGAGAAACAAGAUCUUAUAUUGGACACUGAUUCAUAGCAUAUACAGCCUUCUGAGGAACUUCACUCCACCCCUGCAAGAAAUUGCCACCUAGCUGAUGUCAUAACUGAGACUUCAAAAUGCUAUUCCACUGUUUUAUCAAGCCAAUUGCUUCAGGAUGAUGGGGAAGAUAAUCAGACCAGCAAAUUCCACGAGCAUGGGUCCGUUGCUCUGUUUCUUUUGCUGUAAAGUGAGUUCCUUGAUCAGAAACAAUGCAAUGUGGAAUACUACAAUGAUGAAUA